rnacentral:rRNA from 1 species
UACGGAGGGUGCAAGCGUUAUCCGGAUUCACUGGGUUUAAAGGGUGCGUAGGAGGGCAGGUAAGUCAGUGGUGAAAUCCUAGAGCUUAACUCUAGAACUGCCAUUGAUACUAUCUGUCUUGAAUACCGUGGAGAUGAGCGGAAUAUGUCAUGUAGCGGUGAAAUGCUUAGAUAUGACAUAGAACACCAAUUGCGAAGGCAGCUCGUUACACGAAUAUUGACUCUGAGGCACGAAAGCGUGGGGAUCAAACAGG